GACGAACGCUGGCGGCGCGCUUAACACAUGCAAGUCGAGCGAUGGAACUUUAACAGAACCCUUCGGGGCGGAGAUAAAGGGGAUUAGCGGCGGUCGGGGGAGUAACACGUAAGUAACCUGCCUUAGACAUUGGGAUAGCCGCGGGAAACCGGGAUUAAUACCAAAUAAAAUCAUAAUGACACAUGGCAUAACGAUCAAAACUCCGGUGGUCUAAGAUGGACUCGCGUCCCGUUAGCUAGUUGGUAGAGUAAAAGCCUACCAAAGCGACGAUGGGUAGCCGGGCUGAGAGAGUGGACGGCCACAUUGGAGCUAGGAAACGGUCGAGAAUCCUACGGGAGGGAGGCGUGGGGGAUACUGCACAAUGGAGGGAGCUCUGAUGGAGCGACGCCGGGUGAACGAAGAAGGCUGUCGAGUCGUGAAGUUCUUUUAUAUGGGAAGAUAAUGACGGUACCGGAAGAAAAAGCCCCGGCUAACUACGUG
rnacentral:rRNA from 1 species